GAUAUGUGAAUACAUAGCAUAUCAGAAGGCACACCCGGAGAACUGAAACAUCUUAGUACCCGGAGGAAGAGAAAGAAAAUUCGAUUCCCUUAGUAGCGGCGAGCGAAACGGGAAGAGCCCAAACCAACAAGCUUGCUUGUUGGGGUUGUAGGACACUCUAUACGGAGUUACAAAGGACGACAUUAGACGAAUCAUCUGGAAAGAUGAAUCAAAGAAGGUAAUAAUCCUGUAGUCGAAAAUGUUGUCUCUCUUGAGUGGAUCCUGAGUACGACGGAGCACGUGAAAUUCCGUCGGAAUCUGGGAGGACCAUCUCCUAAGGCUAAAUACUCUCUAGUGACCGAUAGUGAACCAGUACCGUGAGGGAAAGGUGAAAAGCACCCCGGAAGGGGAGUGAAAUAGAACCUGAAACCGUGUGCUUACAAGUAGUCAGAGCCCGUUAAUGGGUGAUGGCGUGCCUUUUGUAGAAUGAACCGGCGAGUUACGAUUUGAUGCAAGGUUAAGCAGUAAAUGUGGAGCCGUAGCGAAAGCGAGUCUGAAUAGGGCGUUUAGUAUUUGGUCGUAGACCCGAAACCAGGUGAUCUACCCUUGGUCAGGUUGAAGUUCAGGUAACACUGAAUGGAGGACCGAACCGACUUACGUUGAAAAGUGAGCGGAUGAACUGAGGGUAGCGGAGAAAUUCCAAUCGAACCUGGAGAUAGCUGGUUCUCUCCGAAAUAGCUUUAGGGCUAGCCUCAAGUGAUGAUUAUUGGAGGUAGAGCACUGUUUGGACGAGGGGCCCCUCUCGGGUUACCGAAUUCAGACAAACUCCGAAUGCCAAUUAAUUUAACUUGGGAGUCAGAACAUGGGUGAUAAGGUCCGUGUUCGAAAGGGAAACAGCCCAGACCACCAGCUAAGGUCCCAAAAUAUAUGUUAAGUGGAAAAGGAUGUGGCGUUGCCCAGACAACUAGGAUGUUGGCUUAGAAGCAGCCAUCAUUUAAAGAGUGCGUAAUAGCUCACUAGUCGAGUGACACUGCGCCGAAAAUGUACCGGGGCUAAACAUAUUACCGAAGCUGUGGAUUGUCCUUUGGACAAUGGUAGGAGAGCGUUCUAAGGGCGUUGAAGCAUGAUCGUAAGGACAUGUGGAGCGCUUAGAAGUGAGAAUGCCGGUGUGAGUAGCGAAAGACGGGUGAGAAUCCCGUCCACCGAUUGACUAAGGUUUCCAGAGGAAGGCUCGUCCGCUCUGGGUUAGUCGGGUCCUAAGCUGAGGCCGACAGGCGUAGGCGAUGGAUAACAGGUUGAUAUUCCUGUACCACCUAUAAUCGUUUUAAUCGAUGGGGGGACGCAGUAGGAUAGGCGAAGCGUGCGAUUGGAUUGCACGUCUAAGCAGUAAGGCUGAGUAUUAGGCAAAUCCGGUACUCGUUAAGGCUGAGCUGUGAUGGGGAGAAGACAUUGUGUCUUCGAGUCGUUGAUUUCACACUGCCGAGAAAAGCCUCUAGAUAGAAAAUAGGUGCCCGUACCGCAAACCGACACAGGUAGUCAAGAUGAGAAUUCUAAGGUGAGCGAGCGAACUCUCGUUAAGGAACUCGGCAAAAUGACCCCGUAACUUCGGGAGAAGGGGUGCUCUUUAGGGUUAACGCCCAGAAGAGCCGCAGUGAAUAGGCCCAAGCGACUGUUUAUCAAAAACACAGGUCUCUGCUAAACCGUAAGGUGAUGUAUAGGGGCUGACGCCUGCCCGGUGCUGGAAGGUUAAGAGGAGUGGUUAGCUUCUGCGAAGCUACGAAUCGAAGCCCCAGUAAACGGCGGCCGUAACUAUAACGGUCCUAAGGUAGCGAAAUUCCUUGUCGGGUAAGUUCCGACCCGCACGAAAGGCGUAACGAUUUGGGCACUGUCUCAACGAGAGACUCGGUGAAAUCAUAGUACCUGUGAAGAUGCAGGUUACCCGCGACAGGACGGAAAGACCCCGUGGAGCUUUACUGUAGCCUGAUAUUGAAAUUCGGCACAGCUUGUACAGGAUAGGUAGGAGCCUUUGAAACGUGAGCGCUAGCUUACGUGGAGGCGCUGGUGGGAUACUACCCUAGCUGUGUUGGCUUUCUAACCCGCACCACUUAUCGUGGUGGGAGACAGUGUCAGGCGGGCAGUUUGACUGGGGCGGUCGCCUCCUAAAAGGUAACGGAGGCGCUCAAAGGUUCCCUCAGAAUGGUUGGAAAUCAUUCAUAGAGUGUAAAGGCAUAAGGGAGCUUGACUGCGAGACCUACAAGUCGAGCAGGGUCGAAAGACGGACUUAGUGAUCCGGUGGUUCCGCAUGGAAGGGCCAUCGCUCAACGGAUAAAAGCUACCCCGGGGAUAACAGGCUUAUCUCCCCCAAGAGUUCACAUCGACGGGGAGGUUUGGCACCUCGAUGUCGGCUCAUCGCAUCCUGGGGCUGUAGUCGGUCCCAAGGGUUGGGCUGUUCGCCCAUUAAAGCGGUACGCGAGCUGGGUUCAGAACGUCGUGAGACAGUUCGGUCCCUAUCCGUCGUGGGCGUAGGAAAUUUGAGAGGAGCUGUCCUUAGUACGAGAGGACCGGGAUGGACAUACCUCUGGUGUACCAGUUGUCGUGCCAACGGCAUAGCUGGGUAGCUAUGUGUGGACGGGAUAAGUGCUGAAAGCAUCUAAGCAUGAAGCCCCCCUCAAGAUGAGAUUUCCCAACUUCGGUUAUAAGAUCCCUCAAAGAUGAUGAGGUUAAUAGGUUCGAGGUGGAAGCAUGGUGACAUGUGGAGCUGACGAAUACUAAUCGAUCGAAGACUUAAUCAA
rnacentral:rRNA from 1 species